rnacentral:rRNA from 1 species
UACGUAGGCAGCGAGCGUUGUUCGGAGUUACUGGGCGUAAAGCGUGCGUAGGCGGUGUCUUAAGUUUGUUGUGAAAUCUCCCGGCUUAACCGGGAGGGUGCGGCGAAUACUGAGGGACUUGGAGUGCGGGAGAGGAAAGUGGAAUUCCUGGUGUAGCGGUGAAAUGACGUAGAUAUCAGGAGGAACACCGGUGGUGUAGACGGCUUUCUGGACCGUAACUGACGCUGAGACACGAAAGCGUGGGUAGCAAACAGG